ACUGUUGUUCAACCAUCAAAGAAACCAAAGAAGAGAAACAAUGUAACUAUUUGUAAAAGAACAAUAAACUUCAAUGAAAGUUUGUAGCUUUCACAUUAAAAGGUAGAGUCAGAAUGUGCAGAACAUCAUUCAAGUCUUCUACUACAAGUUUUACUUCUAAAUCUUACAACAUUCAUGUCUAUUUGAAGAACAAAAUGUAAUAUGCAGAUUCUACAUAACAGAAGUUUGAGUAAAGUCUGAGUAAAUGAGCAUCAGAAAUCAACAUAAGACAACUAUGAACACUUCAAAUAUGUCCCAUUUUUAAGAAAGAAGAAUCAUCAAGCAACAUUACAAACUUUAGUAGAGUAAGA
rnacentral:lncRNA from 1 species